rnacentral:rRNA from 1 species
CCUACGGGUGGCAGCAGUGGGGAAUAUUGGGCAAUGGGCGCAAGCCUGACCCAGCAACGCCGCGUGAAGGAAGAAGGCUUUCGGGUUGUAAACUUCUUUUCUCAGGGACGAAGAAAGUGACGGUACCUGAGGAAUAAGCCACGGCUAACUACGUGCCAGCAGCCGCGGUAAUCCGUAGGUGGCAAGCGUUAUCCGGAUUUACUGGGUGUAAAGGGCGUGUAGGCGGGACUGCAAGUCAGAUGUGAAAACUAUGGGCUCAACCCAUAGCCUGCAUUUGAAACUGUACUUCUUGAGUGCUGGAGAGGCAAGCGGAAUUCCGGGUGUAGCGGUGAAAUGCGUAGAUAUACGGAGGAACACCAGUGGCGAAGGCGGAUUGCUGGACAGUAACUGACGCUGAGGCGCGAAAGCGUGGGGAGCAAACAGGAUUAGAUACCCGAGUAGUC